rnacentral:tRNA from 1 species
GGGCUGGGGCUCAGGGGAAGGGCGCUUGCCUGGCAUGUGUGAGGCACUGGGUUCGAUUCUCAGCACUUCA